GACGAACGCUGGCGGCGUGCUUAACACAUGCAAGUCGAACGGAAAGGCCCUGCUUUUGUGGGGUGCUCGAGUGGCGAACGGGUGAGUAACACGUGAGUAACCUGCCCUUGACUUUGGGAUAACUUCAGGAAACUGGGGCUAAUACCGGAUAGGGGCUCCUGCUGCAUGGUGGGGGUUGGAAAGUUUCCGCGGUUGGGGAUGGACUCGCGGCUUAUCAGCUUGUUGGUGGGGUAGUGGCUUACCAAGGCUUUGACGGGUAGCCGGCCUGAGAGGGUGACCGGCCACAUUGGGACUGAGAUACGGCCCAGACUCCUACGGGAGGCAGCAGUGGGGAAUAUUGCACAAUGGGCGGAAGCCUGAUGCAGCAACGCCGCGUGCGGGAUGACGGCCUUCGGGUUGUAAACCGCUUUCGCCUGUGACGAAGCGUGAGUGACGGUAAUGGGUAAAGAAGCACCGGCUAACUACGUG
rnacentral:rRNA from 1 species